rnacentral:rRNA from 1 species
GACGAACGCUGGCGGCGUGCUUAACACAUGCAAGUCGAACGGUAAGGCCCUUCGGGGUACACGAGUGGCGAACGGGUGAGUAACACGUGGGUAAUCUGCCCUGCACAUCGGGAUAAGCCUGGGAAACUGGGUCUAAUACCGAGUAGGACCACAGGACACAUGUCCUGUGGUGGAAAGCUUUUGCGGUGUGGGAUGGGCCCGCGGCCUAUCAGCUUGUUGGUGGGGUGAUGGCCUACCAAGGCGACGACGGGUAGCCGGCCUGAGAGGGUGUCCGGCCACACUGGGACUGAGAUACGGCCCAGACUCCUACGGGAGGCAGCAGUGGGGAAUAUUGCACAAUGGGCGAAAGCCUGAUGCAGCGACGCCGCGUGGGGGAUGACGGCCUUCGGGUUGUAAACCUCUUUCACCAUCGACGAAGGUCCGGGUUUUCUCGGGCUGACGGUAGGUGGAGAAGAAGCACCGGCCAACUACGUG